rnacentral:rRNA from 1 species
GACGUAGGGGGCCAGCGUUGUUCGGAAUUACUGGGUGUAAAGGGUUCGUAGGCGGUGCGGCAAGUCGGGAGUGAAAUCUCUGGGCUUAACCCAGAGGCUGCUUCCGAAACUGCUGUGCUUGAGUGUGGGAGAGGCGCGUGGAAUUGCAGGUGUAGCGGUGAAAUGCGUAGAUAUCUGCAGGAACACCCGUGGCGAAGGCGGCACGCUGGACCCCCACUGACGCUGAGGCGCGAAAGCCAGGGGAGCGAACGGG